CUACACAGAUUUGCUUUAAUUUUUAAUCAUCUACCACCUACAAACAAGCAAGUCAAAUAAAUAAAAAUAUCACAUUGUGUGCUUGCCCUGCCUUAUGUAAAUAACAACAAAAAAACACAACAUAAAUAAAGAAUAAACUUAAAGUGAGAGGUACAAGUUGUUUUUAAAAAUGCAUGAAGUUAAAUAUAUCCCAAAUAUUGUGAAUAUAUGGCAAGACAGUAUUAUUUCCUAAAAUUUCACAACUUCACAUUUUUUUUAGCAGGAAUGAACACAAGCCCUCUAAAGAGCAAAAUACUUCUUAUAUUAAAGGGACACUACAGUAGUGGCUCUGUUGUCUAUAGCAUGUCCCUGCAGGCAUUGUAAUGUAAACAUUGCCUGUUUACAUUGCUCCCAAAGGACACCUUCAGUAGCAGUUACUCAGACAGCCAAUAGAGGUGCUUCCUGGGGCAGUGCUGCACAGUGUGAAUCACUGACAUUCAGUGUCUCCAUGCUCUGGAUGGAGGCACUAAACUUUCCUCAUAGAGAUUCAAUGCAUCUCUAUAAGUAACUGCUGAUUGGCGCAGCGCAGCGUUUUGCUGUGCAUGCGUAAUGGUUGAGAUGGAUGAAAUUGUCAGUUUUGAUGAUCUCAGCCAAGGAGGCGAAGCAGGGUCAAAGCCAGGUCCGAGGAGACCGGCGCUGCCCUGGAUAAAAGGUGAGUUUGUUGGCUUUUUAAAGUGUGCCAAGGAGGGCUAAUACACCAUACACCAAAAUCUAAUAUUGUAAUAACUUAACAAACAGGAUUAUUAAAUAAAGUGAGAUAUGUUGGAAAUUCAAUAUCAAUUAUAGGUGAAUUUAAAACCAAUGAAUCCGAAUUAGAAGAAUAGCAUUUCCACUUUGGAUAUUUUCAUUAAGUUUUGAAAAUAAAUUAGUCUCUCUGGUCUUUCUUGUUUCUGUGCAGGGAGUCAAUCAUGGAAAACCAUAGAGACAAAUUGUCGGUUUGCAAACACCAUCUGACCCAAGGUGCAUGUAUUUGGCUGAACGAUCCGGCCAUUUACUAAAGGAAGGAAUUCAUUUUCUCAAUUUUAGUUUUUUACAUAUACUUCUUUUUUUUUAAAAAAACAAUCUAUUUUGUUUUGGAAAUUUGAUGGACGUAUUUAUGAAAAUUAACUUUGAAUUUGCUUUGAAUUCCUAACAAUUCUCGUGUUACUGUAAAACCUGAUAGAAUAAGGUCAGUCUAUUAGUCACAUUUCAGCGAUGUUUAAGGAAUAAACUGCAAAGAUAAGAAGUCUAUGCAAAUGAUAAUUACUGGGUAGCAUUGAUUACAGUAAUGUGAGAACACAAUGAGCAGGAUUCUGCUUGUAGACACACAGGUGCAUAUUAUAAUGAAAACCUGUUUUUUACAAUAGAGUUAAAAAUCUGUGAUAAAGUUACAUCUGUCAAUGGCAUAUUGCCAAUUCAAGUCCCCGAGUGACAAAUCACAACUAGACAAAUUAUGUAGCCCUCAUAUUACCUAAUAAUUAACUCUACAGCCUGUGUAACAAAUAGGUAAUGGU